CGGCUAAGCCUUUUUAGGUUUAGAGAGAUUUGAAAGGCCGCUCCUACAGGGGGCGGCCUUUUUCUAUUGUCGGC
rnacentral:misc_RNA from 1 species